CAAUAUUGCAACUUGAGAAGAAAAAAAUAAUAUCGUCCAUUACUGAAAUUGCAGUUACGAAUUUACAGUGCGUAAAGUUUACGAGGAUCCAAAAAUCAAGGUGAUACUGUGUUGUCAUUUUCUGAAAACAAACAAAGUUAAACUGGCAAGCAGACUGAUAAUUUCCAAAAAAAAUACUUCUCUUCUUUUUUCUUUUUUCCUGGAAACAAUACUCGUUAAAUCAAAAUCUCACCUUGAAAUCAUAGCUGCUCCUUUUUUUUGAGCAACAAAAAAGGAAAAAAAAAAACAAAAGCUGUUCCAAACCCUUAUUCAACUUAAUAAUCUUACUGCCAAAAAAACUUGACCAGUUUUAUGAUGUGUUGUUAUUGUCAUGAAACAUGAGUUAGAAAAUUUAUUAAAUAGUACUGAUGUCAAUUCUCCUUUUUGCUAUUUUGUAAUAUUGAUGAAGUUAUAGCUUAAUAACAGUUCAAACACACACAAUAUGAAACCAGGAAAUCAUCAUGAUCCCAGCAGUAGCUGCUAAGUGCAGUUUGGUCAGGUAGUUCCAGUUUUGUUUCUUAAGUAUGAGCAGGUUCGAUCCCCUGCUUCUUACGAAUGAAUCAAUACGUAGUUGGUGGUAUAUCAUUUUUCAUAAAACUCAUAAAUUAUGGUACGAAGCACACACAAUAAUAGUAGUAGUUAACUUUUCUCAACAAAAUAAUCCUAGAUUAGUA
rnacentral:lncRNA from 1 species